rnacentral:lncRNA from 1 species
UCCUAAAGGAACUCCUGAAGAAAAUGGAGAUGGCAGCGUAUGGUGGGACUAAAGGGACUGACCAAGAGACUGUGCAGAAGGAGCCAUUGCAGGAAAGCAGCAGUGACACACGGCCAGUCUCUGACAGAAAAACACAGGCAGAACAAGCAGCUGGAUUGCCAGGGGUGGAUGUUGGGAAAAUCACAACGGCCGCUGUUGGCGAAGAGCUGCGAAAACACCACAUCCCAGUGAUUGCUGUGGUCUCCGCUGUGCUGCUGUCCGUGCUGAUGCUGGCCUGUGUUCCUAUGCUGUGGAUGUGGAAAAAAUAUCUGGCACGCAAGACAGAGCGGACAGCUGCAAGACAAGCUCAUCCUGAAACUGACUGGGAGAGAGAUCAAAACAGAGAUGAAGGCAGAGCGGAGCUGGGGGAGGCUGCAAAGGAGGAUGUCCUCAACCAAGGAAAAAUCAUCUCCAGGGCAUUCUCCUGGUCCUUUGAAGCAAAAUUUGCCUACCUGUGCAGCAGAAUCUUCACAGACCCCUCCCUUCAGCCCAUGCAUCGCAGAAGUGCUCCCAUUAAUCCCAUCUCUUCCUUGAAUACCUGUACCUCUCAGGAUUCCCCUGAGCCAUCCAGUGCCCCUGUUACCGGUGCCAAGAAGGCUCGGGUUCAUUGAAAG